ACAGAGAGUGCGAACGUUGUUCGGAAUUACUGGGCUUAAAGCGCACGUAGGCGGCGCCGCAAGUGCGGGGUGAAAUCCCACGGCUCACCCGUGGAACUGCCCUGCAGACUGCGGUGCUAGAGGAUGGUAGGGGAGAGCGGAACUCCUGGUGGAGCGGUGAAAUGCGUAGAUAUCAGGAGGAACACCGGUGGCGAAGGCGGCUCUCUGGUCCAUUUCUGACGCUGAGGUGCGAAAGCUAGGGGAGCAAACGGGA
rnacentral:rRNA from 1 species